CCGCGUGGGGAUGAAGGCCUUCGGGUUGUAAACCCCUCUCAGCAGGGACGAAGCGAAAGUGACGGUACCUGCAGAAGAAAGCGCCGGCUAACUACGUGC
rnacentral:rRNA from 1 species